rnacentral:sRNA from 1 species
AUGUGAACGUUACAAACUGUUGCCUCGGCGGGGUCACGCCCCGGGUGCGUCGCAGCCCCGGAACCAGGCGCCCGCCGGAGGAACCAACCAAACUCUUUCUGUAGUCCCCUCGCGGACGUAUUUCUUACAGCUCUGAGCAAAAAUUCAAAAUGAAUCAAAACUUUCAACAACGGAUCUCUUGGUUCUGGCAUCGAUGAAGAACGCAGCGAAAUGCGAUAAGUAAUGUGAAUUGCAGAAUUCAGUGAAUCAUCGAAUCUUUGAACGCACAUUGCGCCCGCCAGUAUUCUGGCGGGCAUGCCUGUCCGAGCGUCAUUUCAACCCUCGAACCCCUCCGGGGGAUCGGCGUUGGGGAUCGGGACCCCUCACACGGGUGCCGGCCCCUAAAUACAGUGGCGGUCUCGCCGCAGCCUCUCCUGCGCAGUAGUUUGCACAACUCGCACCGGGAGCGCGGCGCGUCCACGUCCGUAAAACACCCAACUUUCUGAAAUGUUGACCUCGGAUCAGGUGGGAAUACCCGCUGAACUUAAGCAUAUCAUUAACCGAG